rnacentral:misc_RNA from 1 species
UUCCUGGUUAAUAGUUUUCACCUGCCGAAGCCUGACACAGCGACUAUAAAACAAUUGUGGAGUCUUGACAAUAAGCAAGACGACGCCGCUGAAAUGCUGUCAUCAACGAUUGUUGCACCAGCAGCCAGAUUCGGUCUUUUUGACCGACAACUGGCUCACAGAUCAAGGCGCGGUGGUUUCGGUCGAGUGUCGAAACUUUGAUAUGACCGGUCCCCAACUGUGAUGGUUGAGAGUCCACGUUCCGUAGGUGAACCUGCGGAAGGAUCAUUACCGAGUCAGGGUCUUUCAGGCCCGAAACUCCAACCCUAUGUCUAUCUACCAUGUUGCUUUGGCGGGCCCGUCUUAAAAUUGACCGUGGAGGCUUGUCUUCUCGCCAGUGCCCGUCAGUAGCCCUUUCAAAUUCGUUAUAAUGGUGAUGUCUAAGUUUAAAUUUAAUCGUUAAAACUUUCAACAACGGAUCUCUUGGUUCUG